AGUGAACGCUGGCGGUAGGCCUAACACAUGCAAGUCGAACGGCAGCACAGUAAGAGCUUGCUCUUACGGGUGGCGAGUGGCGGACGGGUGAGGAAUACAUCGGAAUCUACUUUUUCGUGGGGGAUAACGUAGGGAAACUUACGCUAAUACCGCAUACGACCUACGGGUGAAAGCAGGGGAUCUUCGGACCUUGCGCGAUUGAAUGAGCCGAUGUCGGAUUAGCUAGUUGGCGGGGUAAAGGCCCACCAAGGCGACGAUCCGUAGCUGGUCUGAGAGGAUGAUCAGCCACACUGGAACUGAGACACGGUCCAGACUCCUACGGGAGGCAGCAGUGGGGAAUAUUGGACAAUGGGCGCAAGCCUGAUCCAGCCAUACCGCGUGGGUGAAGAAGGCCUUCGGGUUGUAAAGCCCUUUUGUUGGGAAAGAAAAGCAGCAGGUUAAUACCCCGAUGUUCUGACGGUACCCAAAGAAUAAGCACCGGCUAACUUCGUG
rnacentral:rRNA from 1 species